CGCCUGUUUAUCAAAAACAUCGCCUCUUGUAAAAGUUAAAUAAGAGGUACCGCCUGCCCUGUGACUAGUAGUUUAACGGCCGCGGUAUUUUGACCGUGCAAAGGUAGCGCAAUCACUUGCCUUUUAAAUGAAGGCCUGUAUGAAUGGCACGACGAGGGCUUAACUGUCUCCUCUCCCUAGUCAAUGAAAUUGAUCCCCCCGUGCAGAAGCGGGGAUAAUAACAUAAGACGAGAAGACCCUGUGGAGCUUUAGACUAUGAGCAGACCAUGUCAAGAAUAACAAACAAGUAAAUUAAACAAAUUGGUCCCUGCUUCUCUGUCUUUGGUUGGGGCGACCGCGGGAUAAUAAAAAACUCCCACGAGGAUUGAGAACCCUUAUCUUAUAACCAAGAGCUUCUCCUCUAAGUAACAGAACAUCUGACCUUAAUGAUCCGGCCUGGCCGAUCAACGGACCGAGUUACCCCAGGGAUAACAGCGCAAUCCUCUUUUAGAGUCCAUAUCGACAAGAGGGUUUACGACCUCGAUGUUGGAUCAGGACAUCCUAAUGGUGCAGCCGCUAUUAAGGGUUUGUUUGUUCAACAAUUAAAGUCCUACGUGAUCUGAGUUCAGACCGG
rnacentral:rRNA from 1 species